rnacentral:rRNA from 1 species
UACAGAGGUCUCAAGCGUUGUUCGGAUUCAUUGGGCGUAAAGGGUGUGUAGGUGGCGCGCUAAGUCGGGUGUGAAAUUUCGGAGCUUAACUCCGAAACUGCAUUCGAUACUGGCGUGCUUGAGGACUGGAGAGGAGACUGGAAUUCAUGGUGUAGCAGUGAAAUGCGUAGAUAUCUGGAGGAAUACCGGUGGCGAAGGCGGCAUCCUGGACCGGCAUUGACGCUGAGGAGCGAAAGCUAGGGGAGCAAACGGG